AGGGCUGGAGAGAUGGCUCAGAGGUAU
rnacentral:piRNA from 1 species